CCCGAUUCAAGAGUCGGCCAACACGGGGAGGUCAGAACUGCACUAUCAAUUCCAUCCGUGUCCCAGUAUUUCGUUGCCAAAGCUUGUUUUCUUUCCGCAAGGUUUUCAUUUCUGGACCAUUAGUUUGUUCUUCCAAUAGAGGGGUAGUAUCCAAUUUUAUUGGUAAUUAUUGGAAUGGGGAGUCUCAACAGAGAAAAACUAAGGUUUUGCGUCGAUAGAGGGGGCACAUUCACUGAUGUUUAUGCUGAAAUUCCGGGUCAGUCUGAGGGUCGAGUUAUGAAGCUCUUGUCUGUUGAUCCGUCUAACUAUGAGGACGCUCCAAUUGAGGGUAUCCGGAGAAUUUUGGAAGAAUUUACCGGGGAAAGAAUUUCUCGGUCUUCAAAAAUUCCUACAGAUAGGAUAGAAUGGAUAAGAAUGGGUACUACUGUGGCAACAAAUGCAUUGUUGGAGAGAAAGGGAGAGAGAAUUGCACUUUGCGUGACUCGAGGCUUUAGGGAUCUAUUGCAGAUUGGUAACCAGGCUCGCCCCAACAUAUUUGACCUUACAGUUUCAAAACCUUCGAAUCUCUAUGAAGAGGUUAUAGAAGUUGAUGAGAGAGUUGAGCUUGUCAUGGGUAAUGAGGAAAGUAAUGCAGAUUCUUCUACACUGGUAGUUAAAGGGAUUUCAGGAGAGCUUGUUCGGGUUGUGCAGCCACUGAAUGAAGCAACCCUAAAGCCUUUGCUUGAAGUUUUGUUGCAGAAAGGUAUUAGCUGUUUAGCCGUGGUGUUAAUGCACUCCUACACUUUCCCACAGCAUGAAGUAUCUGUGGAGAAAUUAGCUGUGAGUUUGGGCUUCAAACAUGUUUCCUUGUCUUCUGCUCUAACCCCCAUGGUCCGUGCAGUUCCUAGAGGUUUAACAGCAAGCGUGGAUGCUUACCUCACCCCAGUUAUCAAAGAGUACUUAUCAGGGUUCAUAUCCAAAUUUGAUGACGGAUUGGCAAAGGUGAAUGUUCUGUUUAUGCAAUCAGAUGGAGGACUUGCACCAGAAAGUAGAUUUUCUGGCCACAAAGCAGUUUUAUCAGGCCCUGCGGGUGGUGUUGUUGGUUACUCACAGACCCUAUUUGGGCUUGAAACAGAUAAACCCCUCAUUGGGUUUGACAUGGGUGGUACAUCUACUGAUGUAAGCAGAUAUGCGGGAAGCUAUGAGCAAGUUCUAGAAACCCAGAUUGCCGGUGUUAUUAUACAAGCACCUCAGCUUGACAUAAACACUGUAGCUGCUGGUGGAGGAUCAAAGUUAAAGUUCCAGUUUGGAGCUUUCCGGGUGGGACCCAAGUCAGUGGGUGCGCAUCCAGGUCCUGUUUGUUAUCGGAAAGGGGGAGAAUUGGCUGUUACUGAUGCAAACCUUGUUUUGGGAUUUGUAAUUCCUGAUUAUUUCCCAUCAAUCUUUGGCCCCAAGGAGGAUCAACCUUUAGAUGUCAGUGCAACUAGAGAAGAAUUCAAGAAACUUGCAGAUCAAAUUAAUUCCUAUAGAAAGAGUCAGAAUCCAUCAACAAACGACAUGACUAUAGAGGAGAUUGCACAAGGAUUUGUAAAUGUUGCCAAUGAAACAAUGUGCCGGCCAAUAAGGCAAUUAACUGAAAUGAAGGGUCAUGAGACAAGAAAUCAUGCUCUUGCUUGCUUUGGAGGUGCUGGACCACAACAUGCCUGUGCAAUUGCUAGGUCACUUGGUAUGACAGAGGUAUUAAUUCACAGGUUUUGUGGAAUCUUAAGUGCAUAUGGAAUGGGUUUGGCUAAUGUAGUUGAGGAGGUACAGGAGCCAUAUUCUGCAGUUUAUAACUGUGAAUCUUUACAAGAAGCUUCUCGGAGAGAAGCUAUUUUGUUGAAUCAGGCUAAGCAGAAUUUGCGAGGGCAAGGGUUCAAAGAGGAAAACAUCACAACAGAGACGUAUUUGUAUUUGAGUUAUGAGGGCACAGAUACCUCCAUCAUGGUAAAGAAGCAGAUAAAUGAAGAUGGCUCAGGAGGUGAUUAUGCUGUUGAAUUUGUCAAGCUCUUUCAGCAAGAGUAUGGAUUCAAGCUGCAGAAUAGGAGGAUCCUCAUCUGUGACAUAAGGGUUCGUGGUAUUGGAGUCACCAAUAUCUUGAGGCCACGGACCUUGGAACCUGCUUCUGGUACCCCAAAAGUUGAAGGUCGCUACAAGGUUUACUUUGAGAAUGGAUGGAAUGAUACACCUUUAUUCAAGCUUGAGCAGCUCACUUAUGGACAUGUCAUACCCGGCCCUGCUAUUAUCAUGAAUGGUAACAGCACUGUAAUAGUAGAACCCAAAUGUAAAGCUAUUAUCACCAAAUAUGGCAACAUUAAAAUUGAGAUUGGGUCUGCAUCUAGCACAUUGAAGGUGGCAGACAAGGUUGCAGAUGUUGUGCAGCUCUCAAUCUUCAAUCACAGGUUUAUGGGUAUAGCUGAACAGAUGGGACGGACCCUGCAGAGAACUUCCAUAUCGACCAAUAUCAAAGAACGUCUAGAUUUCUCUUGUGCUCUCUUUGGUCCUGAUGGCGGGCUAGUAGCAAAUGCCCCUCAUGUCCCGGUACACUUGGGCGCUAUGUCAAGUACUGUGCAGUGGCAACUCAAGUACUGGGCCGACAAUUUGCACAAUGGAGAUGUUUUGGUUACUAAUCAUCCCUGUGCUGGAGGUAGCCACCUGCCUGAUAUAACUGUCAUUACCCCGGUUUUUAGUAGCGGAAAGCUGGUAUUCUUCGUGGCAAGUAGAGGGCAUCAUGCAGAGAUUGGAGGCAUCACUCCUGGAAGCAUGCCUCCUUUUUCUAAGUCCAUAUGGGAAGAAGGAGCUGCCAUAAAAGCAUUCAAGCUUGUGGAAAAGGGGAUUUUUCAGGAAGAAGGAAUCAUCAAACUUCUCAAGUUCCCUUGUUUAGAUGAAUCUGCACUUAACAUUCCAGGAACCCGCAGGCUUGAUGAUAAUUUAUCUGAUCUUCGGGCACAAGUAGCUGCGAAUCAGAGAGGAAUUUCCCUUAUUCAGGAGCUUAUCGAGCAGUACGGUUUGGACACUGUCAAAGCUUACAUGACUUAUGUGCAGAUCAAUGCAGAAGAAGCAGUUAGAGAAAUGCUCAAGUCAGUUGCUGCAAAUACUGUUUCUUCUGAGUCAGAUAAGUGUGGAAAGACAGAUUUUCUGACCAUUGAAGAGGAAGAUUAUAUGGAUGAUGGUUCUGUGAUACAUCUGAAGCUAUCAAUCAAUCCUGAUAAAGGGGAAGCUGUGUUUGAUUUCUCUGGGACCAGCCCAGAGGUUUACGGGAAUUGGAAUGCACCCGAAGCAGUGACAGCUGCAGCAGUCAUUUACUGCCUCCGCUGUUUGGUGAACGUUGACAUUCCUCUCAAUCAAGGUUGUCUAGCUCCUGUCAAAAUACACAUCCCAGAGGGUUCAUUCCUUUCUCCGAGUGACAAGGCUGCCGUAGUGGGAGGUAAUGUUCUUACUUCUCAGAGGAUAACAGAUGUUAUACUUACUGCAUUCCAGGCCUGUGCUUGUUCUCAGGGUUGCAUGAACAAUCUGACUUUUGGGGAUGACACCUUUGGGUACUACGAAACAAUUGGAGGUGGGAGCGGGGCUGGCCCCUCCUGGGAUGGUACCAGUGGCGUGCAAUGCCAUAUGACAAACACUCGUAUGACUGAUCCUGAGAUCUUUGAGCAGAGGUAUCCAGUUAUUCUGCAUAGAUUUGGAUUAAGAGAGAACAGUGGAGGUGCUGGACUGCAUAGAGGGGGCAAUGGACUUGUCAGGGAGAUUGAAUUCAGACGCCCAGUUGUAGUCAGCAUUCUUUCAGAGAGGCGGGUCCACGCACCAAGAGGGUUGAAGGGAGGAAAGGAUGGAGCUCGGGGCGUUAACUACCUUUUCACAAAGGAUAAUCGGAGAGUGUACCUAGGAGGUAAGAACAUAGUUGAGGUACAGGUCGGUGAAAUUCUUCAGAUUCUAACUCCAGGUGGUGGUGGUUGGGGUGUUCUGUGAUUCUCCCGGAUCGCCAACUUUGACAAGUAUGAAUUUAGUUUUUCAUGUUAAGAUAAUCAGUUUCUUGCUUUGGGUGCAGAAAUGAAGCAAAUAGGUGCCAAUAACAUCAUUUGAAUGGAUGAAUAAAGCAUUUACAUGGUCCUGUUCUUAGUAGUUUUUAAAUUUUGGAAAAUUUGACAGUACGAAUGCAGUUGAAUUAUAGGGACCAUUGGUAAUUUCUUUUAGUUUCCUCUAUAAAAGAGUAAUGUUAGGCUUGAGCAAUACAAGUAGCGUUGCAAUCAAACAGUGAUGUGUGUGUAUGUGAAUGAAAGCAAAUCAUUCAGAUUGGAUAGAGAUAACACCGGGUUUGGUUUCUUUAUAGAUGAAGGGAGUUGAGAUAUUUGGAGUUUAUCUCCAACUUCUCCUCAGGUUGCUAGAAUUGAAACAGAGAAAGUGCUUAUUCAAAUGGUUUGAGACUAAAUUGGAGCAAAGCCGCAGAGGGAAGUAAAGGGGUGCGCAUAAAGGCCCGUUCAGGGGGCGGUCCCACUUUUCUGGGUACUUAUAAUAUGCCGAUUAAAUUCCAUUGGCAUUGUAUAUGAAGUGAAACUAACCUGUCAGCUGCUAGCAAUCAUUUAGUUCAGUAGUUGGCUAUAAUGCAAGCAUGGAUUGAAAUCCUAAAAGGUGCUCUGGGACUCACCUUUAUUAUGUUCAAAUGGCAUAAUAGUGGGUUCAAUAGGCUUUUCUGUUUGCGUCCAGGAUUGUGUUGGAAUCUAUUGUUUUUGGUUGCUUCUAUUCCGUGAAUGUCGCCAUGUGGAUAUUGGAGUGUUCUAUCUGUAACUUGAAAUCAAUUGCCUCUAGAUAUUUUAAGGGAUGUUCGGUACGGGAGAAGUUUUUAAAUUUAUGAGAUUUAUGAUUCUUGAGAA